rnacentral:rRNA from 1 species
GAACGGGGUGGAGGGGCAACUCUCCAUUCAGUGGCGAACGGGUGAGUAAUGCAUCGGAACGUGUCCCGGAGUGGGGGAUAACGCCGCGAAAGCGGCGCUAAUACCGCAUAUUCUCCAUGGAGGAAAGUGGGGGACCCGCAAGGGCCUCAUGCUCGGGGAGCGGCCGAUGUCCGAUUAGCUUGUUGGUAGGGUAACGGCCUACCAAGGCGACGAUCGGUAGCUGGUCUGAGAGGAUGAUCAGCCACACUGGGACUGAGACACGGCCCAGACUCCUACGGGAGGCAGCAGUGGGGAAUUUUGGACAAUGGGGGCAACCCUGAUCCAGCCAUGCCGCGUGCGGGAAGAAGGCCUUCGGGUUGUAAACCGCUUUUAGCCGGGACGAAAGCGCUACGGAUAACACCCGUGGCGGUUGACGGUACCGGCGGAAUAAGCACCGGCUAACUACGUGCCAGCAGCCGCGGUAAUACGUAGGGUGCGAGCGUUAAUCGGAAUUACUGGGCGUAAAGCGUGCGCAGGCGGUGCGUUGUGUCGGCGGUGAAAUCCCCGGGCUUAACCUGGGAAUUGCCGUUGAAACUGGCGCACUUGAGUGUGGCAGAGGGGGGUGGAAUUCCGCGUGUAGCAGUGAAAUGCGUAAAGAUGCGGAGGAACACCAAUGGCGAAGGCAGCCCCCUGGGCUAACACUGACGCUCAGGCACGAAAGCGUGGGGA